rnacentral:rRNA from 1 species
UACGUAGGGGGCAAGCGUUAUCCGGAUUUACUGGGUGUAAAGGGAGCGUAGACGGCCAGACAAGUCAGAAGUGAAAGCCCAGGGCUCAACCCUGGGACUGCUUUUGAAACUGCCGGGCUGGAGUGCAGGAGAGGUAAGCGGAAUUCCUAGUGUAGCGGUGAAAUGCGUAGAUAUUAGGAGGAACACCAGUGGCGAAGGCAGCAUACCGGUGCACAACUGACGCUCAGGCACGAAAGCGUGGGUAUCGAACAGG